rnacentral:rRNA from 1 species
CUUGGUCAUUUAGAGGAAGUAAAAGUCGUAACAAGGUUUCCGUAGGUGAACCUGCGGAAGGAUCAUUAACAUAUUCUCUUAACAAAGAAUAAUCAAACGUGAACUAGUUUCGCCCCCGGGUUGGCUUCGAGUGACAUGUGAAUGAACGGUGUGAGAGAAAUCUCUUGCCCAUGUGUCGGUCAUUUAAUUGACAGCUUGGAGUUAGCUGCGGUAGAUAGGUCUGCGCUACAGGACCACACCCUGCCACUGUAGUCUAGGCGCCCCACUUUUAUUAUUUCUUACUGAUUUUGUACAAUUACCCUGAAUUCCUGGUUUACUCCAGUUGAGUUCGAGUAAAUGUCACUUUAUAUAAUACGAAACAACUCUUAGCAACGGAUAUCUUGGUUCUCGUAACGAUGAAGAGCGCAGCGAAAUGCGAUACGUAAUGCGAAUUGCAGAAUUCAGUGAAUCAUCAAAUUUUUGAACGCAACUGGCGCCUUCAGGUUUCCCUGGAGGCACGUUUCUCUCAGUGUCUGUUACAACAACUCCUUUAAUUCGGGCAACUGAAAUUAAAGGGAAUAUGAGUGUUAUGAUGUCAUAUUCAUAUCACUUGAAAUUCAAUGAGUUAGUCUCGCAGCGGUGGUAGCGGAAUUUAUUCCGAUACCUGAGACAACUUACAGAUAUGUAUUUAACUCGUCUUCGGAUGAUUCCUUACAUUUUCUGUAGGAUGUCAAUAUGUCUGUGUUGGCUAAUGAAACUAAGGCAUAUAGUCAUGCUUAAUCGCAUUGACUAUUGAUCUUUCAAAAUUUGACCUGAGAUGAAGCGAGGUUACCCGCGGAAUUUAAGCAUAUUAUUACGCGGAGGAAAAGAAACUAACAAGGAUUCCCCUAGUAACGGCGAGUGAAGCGGGAAGAGCUCAAGUUUAAAAUCGGGGUGCUUGCACCUCGAGUUGUAGUCUCGAGACAUGCUGUCUGCGGUGACGUCGGUACAAGUGCCUUGGAAGAGGUUAUCAGAGAGGGUGACAAUCCCGUCGCUGAUCGACAGUUCGCCGCUUUCGACGUAUGUUCACAGAGUCGGAUUGCUUGGGAGUGCAGUCCUAAUUGGGUGGUAAAUUUCAUCUAAAGCUAAAUAUUGACGAGAAACCGAUAGCGAACAAGUACCGUGAGGGAAAGAUGAAAAGAACUUUGAAAAGAGAGUCAAAAAGUACUUGAACUUGCUAAGAGGGAAGAGCUGAAAACUAGUAUUGCUUGCAGUUACUUUCCCGUUGUGGGUGAAACGAGCGUGCAAUGGGUGGUUAAACCUCAUUGUAUGUGCGAAUUAUCUUCAGCGGUCCCUGUAAUUGUGAGUAGGUCAGCAUCAUUUCGAAGUGUAGGAGAAAGUUUGGUGGAAGAUAGGGUCUUCGGACCUGUUAUAGACAUCAAGCCAUACUAUGCUUUGGAUUGAGGAAGUAUCGACGCUCCGUUUUACGGAGUGACCACUUGGCACCUCAUGUGUUCUAUGUGUAGGAAAGCAAUGCUUUGCUGUGUGUAGGAUGUGUGACUGUGUUGGGCGUGUCACUGCGCCGACGCGAUGCUGACGAAAUGGUUUUCAUCUACCCGUCUUGAAACACGGACC